CAUGCAUUCAUUUUCUUGAAAUGCAUCAACAUCUUUUCCAACUUGUUUCCUCCCAUUCUUUAUUGUGAUGUCGCUCUUGCGGUCAUCUUUGGACCUUAAUAAAAUGUUCAACUUUAUACUUUUUAAUCUCACCAUUCUUUGAUGAUCUCAACAUAAUACUCACACACAAUAUCUCUAGAGAGAGAAUAAAGGUUGAGAGAUUUUGAUCAGAGAGAGAUGGAUGAUUCUAUGGGAGCUGGAAUAAUGGCUGUCAUUGCAGUCUCCGGAAGCAUAGUGUUUUUCUCUCUUCAAGCUCAUAAGCGCCUCCUCUCUGAUUUCAUGGAGAAGAUUGAAUUUGAACUAGGGUCUGGACAAGAUGAAAGAAAGAAGAGGGUUAGAUUUUGCUCCCUGCAGGUGGAGAAUAAGGAUAGAAAAUUUGGUGAGAUAAAGAAGAAAAAUUGGUCGAAUAACUCAAGGGUAUUGAGGGAUAAUGGUAAGCAUGGACAAAUGGAGGAGGGUUCAAUGCCUAGGAACUGGCAAGCUUUGUACAAAGGAAUUUUGCAGUACAGGAAGCUGUCCACUCCUUGUAUUUAACUCCCACUUUUCUUUCUAUUCUUCUUCUUUAAGUUUGCUGUUUAUAAAUCAAGAAUUAUAUGGUGCAGCUCAAAUGUAUGUAUCAACACUUUAGAUUUGUACUGUGCCUUUGAUCAAUGGCCUGCUUAUUUGAGUUGUUAAAAGUAAA